CACGUAGGGGGCGAGCGUUGUCCGGAUUUAUUGGGCGUAAAGAGCUCGUAGGCGGUUUCGUAAGUCGGAUGUGAAAACUCCAGGCUCAACUUGGAGACGCCAUUCGAUACUGCGAUGACUUGAGUCCGGUAGGGGAGUGUGGAAUUCCGUGGUGUAGCGGUGAAAUGCGCAGAUAAUCAGGAGGAACACCGGCGGCGAAGGCGGCACUCUGGGCCGGUACUGACGCUGAGGAGCGAAAGCGUGGGUAGCAAACAGG
rnacentral:rRNA from 1 species